AUUACAGCUCUAUUUCAUUACAACACUAUUCCAUUACAGUAAACCAAACGCACUGUUAGUGUUGUCAAAAAAGUCCAAAGCAAAGAAGAAGAUAGAUCAGUAAUAAGCCCUUACAUUGCUGACAUAAAAUUUUUAAGCAAAACGUUCGGCAGGUGCUGCUUCAAGAAAACAUCUAGAAAUGGAAAUGGAGUGGCACAUGGAGUUGCAAAGGAGGGUUUGAAGCGAAACGAGUCGACUUACCUGGGAGGGUCAAGUACUAGAGUCGGUGACAGUGGUGGUGGCAGAGAAUGAAAGAAGCUUGGAUCUAGCAUAGAAGUGAAGAAGGUUCGAGAAUUCUUCUGGUAGAGGAAAAGUUUCAAUAAGAGGAGUCUUGAGAUUUUCUUGGUUCUUUGAUUGCAUGAGGGAGGGGAAGGGACUCAUCUUGAUAGCUGGGCAUUGGGGGUAUCGAAAAGGAGCUUAGAUAGGCUUUAGUUUUUGUUUUCUUGGGCUAAGUAGGUGUAGUUUC
rnacentral:lncRNA from 1 species